CAGUCGCCGCGGGAAUACGUAGGUGGCGAGCGUUGUCCGGAAUCAUUGGGCGUAAAGGGAGCGCAGGCGGGCAUGUAAGUCUUUCUUAAAAGUUCGGGGCUCAACCCCGUGAUGGGAAAGAAACUACAUGUCUUGAGUACAGGAGAGGAAAGCGGAAUUCCCAGUGUAGCGGUGAAAUGCGUAGAUAUUGGGAGGAACACCAGUGGCGAAGGCGGCUUUCUGGACUGCAACUGACGCUGAGGCUCGAAAGCCAGGGGAGCGAACGGGAUUAGAUACCCGAGUAGUCCCUGUCUCUUAUACA
rnacentral:rRNA from 1 species